UUUUUUUUUUUAAGUGCCUAGUAGUCAUAUCCUAAGUGCCUAGUAGUCAUAUCCUAAGUGCCUAGUAGUCAUAUCAUAUCGCAUCUAAUUGCCGGGUGCCGGACAUCAUGUCCAUCACGUGACCUUAUCCUUCCCGGCCGCACGGACAGUGUUACACAGCCAGCUGAAUUAUGAUCAUGCAAGCAAGGAUGAGAGAGAUAAAUUGUGUGAGAGUGAGAGGUGGAGAGUGUGGGCCAGCGUGUGUGUGUGUGUGUGUGUGUGUGUGUGUGUGUGUGUGUGUGUGUGUGUGUGUGUGUGUGCGUGCUGGCAUGGACGGGUGGGAGCACCUUGAAGGCUGCAAGUGCAGAGGAGGCAUGUCUGAGCAGCCUUCACAUAUAACGGUGUUUCAUGCUAACAGCUGGCGCCAGUGUACAGAACCCUGGUAAUACUCGUGUGUAUAUGCGAAGCAACGUGUAUUUUUUAUGAUAGAUAGCCAGAUUUUUAUACGAAGAUGACGUCAUUUGAUUCGAUGUACAGAGUAAUCUCUAGCUUAUUGUGUUUUUAUAAUAAAUAACAUUUGAUAAUAAUA